rnacentral:misc_RNA from 1 species
AACAAAAGUAGACCUUGAAUUAGUGAAACCAUCAAAGAAUAAGUGCUUACCAAGGACUACGUAAUGGUUUAUUUCAUUAUAAGUUGUCCUCUUAAAAUCCUAAGAAAUUUGAUCACCAGCUCCAACAAUCUGAAAGUAUAUAUUUCAAAUACUAUACAAAACAGCUCUGCAAAAAUAAAAAAAAUCUGAUGUCAAAAGCCUUUGCGGCUUAAAUUUUUUGCUUCUACCAUUGCACACGCCGUCUCUCUGAAAUAGCAGGAGUGAAAUCACUCAUCUUCAUUUGAUGCCAACAUGGACCUUAAAAUUUGCCUGUAUUUUGUGGGGCUGUCAUACAUAGUCGGGGUAUUGAUAAUCGCCCUUUCCAACCAUAACUUGUCAACCUCCUUCUUUUCAGUCAGUCUCUGGUAGAACCUUUUCCACUUGUUCAUUACUCUUUUUAAACGAACACUCUUGCUUCCUCGCAAAAGAAACUUGAUGUAGUCUUUCACUAGACGAGUCAAUUCCUCCCCACUAAUAAUGUAAACAUACUGCAGUAAUUAACAUAUAACAAAAAAAAAAUGUUAAUACACAUGGCAAUUGAUACUAUUGCUGGACAACUAAAGCCAACAUAAUUCCUUCAAAAUUUUUCAGGUGAAGCUCAAUUUACUAGUAAGCAAUAUACACAGAUGUGAAAUUUAAUAUACGAGAUGAUCAUUGCAAACAUAAGACAAACUCCAUAGCCACAUGAUACAUGAAUCAACUGACUGGAGAUUUAGUAAUCAAGUUCCAUUCUGAAACAGGAAGAAAUUCAAAUUUCAUUCUGGUUAUCAGUAUAACAUAGGCAUAAUUUAAAAAAUGUAUCAUGUGGUUUGAUGAACCUUUUACAAAUUUUCUCUUCAAACAAUCAAGGAUACACUUAAGAACAUGCAAAAUAUUAGGAAGUGAAACAUAGUAUAGAGGUCAAUAACUAUCCAACACGUCAGAAGAGCUAGAAGGAAGAUAUUAUUACCAGAAAAAUAAAGCCAACGGUAGCUAAGACUACUUGCAGAGUUUCAUCCAUGAUUCCUGCAAAGCCUUCAUCAUCAGAUCCUUCAAAGCCAUCCCCACCACCACCACCACCACGAGGUGGAUUUUUCCCACUUCCUCCAUCAUAAAAUUCUUGUUUUUCAAUCUGCAGCCGUAACACAUCUUCUACUGACUUUCCCUUGAAACUUCCCAUGAACUUCUCAAAAGGAUUCCACGGAGAACCCUGAUACUCCAUUUCAAGAAAUAAAAUGUAAUUUAAAAGUAGGUAAAUUUGAAACUUUUUUUUUUUUGGGCUAAAGCAUUGCAAUGGAUCUAAUCCCUUCACAAUGUUCAUGACAUUGUCUAAGGCACCAAAUACCUCCAAUACUUAAUCCUGCCAUAUGGAAUGAGAUUAAAACUUUACUGGCAGCAAAAGUUAAGAUCAGUGGUUCAUUGCAACAGUCCUUUAGCUUGGUUGUUUAGUGAACCACAUCAGUAAUCUUUAGGCCCAACAUAUUUAUGAACCUUUCAGGUAGCAAGUCCCAAACUAGAAGAAAGACAUCUUGAAUUACAAAAGACAGCCAAUUCAAAACUUCCUCAUAAUUAGGGUCAUUCAUGAGUUAAUUCUGAUUGAUUUCAGAAGAAAUUCAAAUAAAAAAACCAAGAUUUUCCCCAAAAUACACUGGACUGAAUUUAAAAAUAAAAAAAAAGCCUGAAUUAAACAGAAAAUAUGCAGUUGGGUCUAGUCAACCUUUUGAAUUUUGGAUAACUUUCCAAUAUUAGCUUUGCACACAAACACACAUUUUUCAUAAUUAUAAAUUCAUUAUAGGUUAAUCUCAGAUAAGGCUAAGAUAAGAUUUGAAAACUGUCAUAUGGAGCUGAAAAACUUUGAAUUUGAAUGGUUUUAUAAAUUUUUACACUAAAUUGAACUGAAUAUAUAUUAAAACAAAAAUUGAUCCAAUGAGAGAAACUUCAUUAGAUCUUUUAGACAGAAAAGUUGGUGAACAAACCCUUAUAUUAAUUCAAAAUGAGAAUGAAAACCUCCCCUUUCACCUCUAUCUAUUUUAUUCCCAAUCACAGGGCUACUGAUGGAAAGAAAUAGCUAGAAAAGAUGUAUUCAAUAAUGUUCAGUACAUAAGGCUUGCUAAGUUGAGACCAAAAUAUGCUCCAUUAUCCAGAGAGUCAAUAAAAGGUUUCAAGAAGACAGUUAAAGGUCAUAACCUUAUAUCAAUUAUUGUCACAAAUUCAGUUAGAGGUCUUAACCUUAUAUCAUUAUAGUUGCAAAUUUACCAUUGAUCUGAUGAAUAACAAAGACAAAAUGUCACCUAUCCUUUUAACACCAAUCAUUAUUCAGUAGUAGGCAUACUGAAAAAUAUAAAAGGUCCGAGGAGAGAAUUCUUACCUCAUUGUCUCUUUCAGACUUGUCUUUGCCACCAAGCAAGCAAACAGGCGUCCCUUGCUGGUAUUUUGUUGCAGUUUCAUGUUGUCGGUGUUUCAAUACAAGUCCAUAUUGGGGGCACAUUGAAGCAAGUUUCACACACAUUGUAGGGAAACACUUAACACCAACUGGUAAGACACGGGGCAUUCGAGGUUGUUGGUGUGAUUGGGAUGUAUUUGAGACAUGGAAAAAAGGUCUGCAGGGACUUGCAUGAACACAAGUCACCAUCUAUCAAGGUGUCUGGUCACCCACACAUUAAUCUUCAAAACCCGGUAUAUUCUAAGCCGCCGGUUUCCCCGCCGGUCGACUCUCUUAUGUUUCUUAUGCGGAGAAGAUAGGGACGGACGAGGAUGGAAAGAGAGGAGGGGUAGACAUGUU